rnacentral:rRNA from 1 species
GACGAACGCUGGCGGCGUGCUCAACACAUGCAAGUCGAACGCUGAAGCUCAGCUUUUGUUGGGUGGAUGAGUGGCGAACGGGUGAGUAACACGUGAGUAACCUGCCUCCUUCUUUGGGAUAACGCCCGGAAACGGGUGCUAAUAAUGGAUAUUCACUGGUCUUCGCAUGGGGGAUGGUGGAAAGGGUUUUUCUGGGGGGGGAUGGGCUCGCGGCCUAUCAGCUUGUUGGUGGGGUGAUGGCCUACCAAGGCUUUGACGGGUAGCCGGCCUGAGAGGGUGACCGGUCACAUUGGGACUGAGAUACGGCCCAGACUCCUACGGGAGGCAGCAGUGGGGAAUAAUGCACAAUGGGCGCAAGCCUGAUGCAGCGACGCCGCGUGAGGGAUGGCGGCCUUCGGGUUGUGAACCUCUUUCGCUCAUGGUCAAGCCGCAACAAUGGUUGUGGUGAGGGUAGUGGGUAAAGAAGCGCCGGCUAACUACGUG